AACGAACGCUGGCGGCAGGCCUAACACAUGCAAGUCGAGCGCGCCCUUCGGGGUGAGCGGCGGACGGGUGUGUAACGCGUGGGAACGUGCCCUUUUCUACGGAAUAGCCUCGGGAAACUGAGAGUAAUACCGUACACGCCCUUUGGGGGGAUGAUUUCUUGGAAAAGGAUGGUCCGGCGUUGGAUUAGGUGGUUGGUGGGGUAAUGGCCUACCAAGCCGACGAUCCAUAGCUGGGUUGAGAGAAUGAUCAGCCACACUGGGACGGAGACACGGCCCAGACUCCUACGGGAUGCAGCAGUGGGGAAUCGUAGACAAUGGGGGCAACCCUGAUCGAGCCAUGCCGCGUGAGUGAUGAAGGCCUUAGGGUUGUAAAGCGCUGUCAGCUGGGAAGAUAAUGACGGUACCAGCAGAAGAAGCCCCGGCUAACUCCGUG
rnacentral:rRNA from 1 species